AGCUCCAAUAGCGUAUAUUAAAGUUGUUGCGGUUAAAAGCUCGUAGUUGGAUUUCUACCGAAGACAGCCGGUCCACACUACGUGUGCGCAUCUGGUGUGGCUUUGGUAUCCUCAUGGAGAACAGUUCUGCGCUUCAUUGCGUGGACUGGUAUUCAUGACUUUUACUUUGAGGAAAUUAGAGUGUUCACGGCAGGCGUUUGCCAUGAAUACAUUAGCAUGGAAUAAUAAUAUAGGACUUUGGCCCUAUUUUGUUGGUUUCUAGAGCUGAAGUAAUGAUUAAUAGGGACACUUGGGGGCAUUCGUAUUAUCACGUCAGAGGUGGAAUUCUUGGAUUGUGUUACGACGAACUACUGCGAAAGCAUUUGCCAAGGAUGUUUUCA
rnacentral:rRNA from 1 species